AACGUAGGAGACGAACGUUAUCCGGAGUUACUGGGCGUAAAGGGCGUGUAGGCGGUUUGUUAAGUCUGGCGUGAAAGCUCUCGGCUAAACCGGGAGAGGUCGUUGGAUACUGGCGAACUAGAGGAUGGUAGAGGCGUGUGGAAUUCCGGGUGUAGUGGUGAAAUGCGCAGAUAUCAGGAGGAACACCAAUUGCGAAGGCAGCUCGCUGGGACGUUACUGACGCUGAGACGCGAAAGCGUGGGGAGCAAACAGG
rnacentral:rRNA from 1 species